AGAGUUUGAUCCUGGCUCAGAUUGAACGCUGGCGGCAGGCCUAACACAUGCAAGUCGAGCGGUAGCACAGAGAGCUUGCUCUCGGGUGACGAGCGGCGGACGGGUGAGUAAUGUCUGGGAAACUGCCUGAUGGAGGGGGAUAACUACUGGAAACGGUAGCUAAUACCGCAUAACGUCGCAAGACCAAAGAGGGGGACCUUCGGGCCUCUUGCCAUCAGAUGUGCCCAGAUGGGAUUAGCUAGUAGGUGGGGUAACGGCUCACCUAGGCGACGAUCCCUAGCUGGUCUGAGAGGAUGACCAGCCACACUGGAACUGAGACACGGUCCAGACUCCUACGGGAGGCAGCAGUGGGGAAUAUUGCACAAUGGGCGCAAGCCUGAUGCAGCCAUGCCGCGUGUAUGAAGAAGGCCUUCGGGUUGUAAAGUACUUUCAGCGGGGAGGAAGGUGUUGAGGUUAAUAACCUCAGCAAUUGACGUUACCCGCAGAAGAAGCACCGGCUAACUCCGUGCCAGCAGCCGCGGUAAUACGGAGGGUGCAAGCGUUAAUCGGAAUUACUGGGCGUAAAGCGCACGCAGGCGGUCUGUCAAGUCGGAUGUGAAAUCCCCGGGCUCAACCUGGGAACUGCAUUCGAAACUGGCAGGCUAGAGUCUUGUAGAGGGGGGUAGAAUUCCAGGUGUAGCGGUGAAAUGCGUAGAGAUCUGGAGGAAUACCGGUGGCGAAGGCGGCCCCCUGGACAAAGACUGACGCUCAGGUGCGAAAGCGUGGGGAGCAAACAGGAUUAGAUACCCUGGUAGUCCACGCCGUAAACGAUGUCGACUUGGAGGUUGUGCCCUUGAGGCGUGGCUUCCGGAGCUAACGCGUUAAGUCGACCGCCUGGGGAGUACGGCCGCAAGGUUAAAACUCAAAUGAAUUGACGGGGGCCCGCACAAGCGGUGGAGCAUGUGGUUUAAUUCGAUGCAACGCGAAGAACCUUACCUACUCUUGACAUCCAGAGAACUUUCCAGAGAUGGAUUGGUGCCUUCGGGAACUCUGAGACAGGUGCUGCAUGGCUGUCGUCAGCUCGUGUUGUGAAAUGUUGGGUUAAGUCCCGCAACGAGCGCAACCCUUAUCCUUUGUUGCCAGCGGUCCGGCCGGGAACUCAAAGGAGACUGCCAGUGAUAAACUGGAGGAAGGUGGGGAUGACGUCAAGUCAUCAUGGCCCUUACGAGUAGGGCUACACACGUGCUACAAUGGCGCAUACAAAGAGAAGCGACCUCGCGAGAGCAAGCGGACCUCAUAAAGUGCGUCGUAGUCCGGAUUGGAGUCUGCAACUCGACUCCAUGAAGUCGGAAUCGCUAGUAAUCGUAGAUCAGAAUGCUACGGUGAAUACGUUCCCGGGCCUUGUACACACCGCCCGUCACACCAUGGGAGUGGGUUGCAAAAGAAGUAGGUAGCUUAACCUUCGGGAGGGCGCUUACCACUUUGUGAUUCAUGACUGGGGUGAAGUCGUAACAAGGUAACC
rnacentral:rRNA from 1 species